GGACCAUAGCUCAGUGCUGGAGCAUCUGUCUUCCAUGCAGAAGGUCCCAGUUUCAAUCGCUGGCACCUCCA